rnacentral:rRNA from 1 species
UACGUAGGGUGCGAGCGUUGUCCGGAAUUAUUGGGCGUAAAGAGCUUGUAGGCGGUCUGUCGCGUCUGCUGUGAAAAUCCGGGGCUCAACCCCGGACUUGCAGUGGGUACGGGCAGACUAGAGUGUGGUAGGGGAGACUGGAAUUCCUGGUGUAGCGGUGAAAUGCGCAGAUAUCAGGAGGAACACCGAUGGCGAAGGCAGAUCUCUGGGCCGUAACUGACACUGAGGAGCGAAAGCGUGGGGAGCGAACAGG